UACGUAGGUGGCGAGCGUUGUCCGGAUUUAUUGGGUUUAAAGGGUGCGUAGGCGGUCCUAUAAGUCAGUGGUGAAAUAUCGCAGCUCAACUGUGAGGGUGCCAUUGAUACUGUAGGACUUGAGUGAAUUUGAGGUAGGCGGAAUUGACGGUGUAGCGGUGAAAUGCUUAGAUAUCAGGAGGAACACCGGUGGCGAAGGCGGAUCUCUGGGCCGAUACUGACGCUGAGGAGCGAAAGCGUGGGGAGCGAACAGG
rnacentral:rRNA from 1 species